UGAAUACGAGACGCUAAGGCGUCGAAGUAGUGUAUGUCAUACUUCCAAGAAAAGCUUGCACUGUCAUAGAUAAAAAACGCCUGUACCAUAACCGACACAGGUGGGUAGGUAGAGUAUACUAAGGGGCGCGAGAUAACUCUCUCUAAGGAACUCGGCAAAAUAACUCCGUAACCUCGGGAGAAGGAGUGCCUUAUUCGUAAGGUUGCAAUAACAAGAUCCAAGCAACUGUUUAUCAAAAACACAGGUCUCCGCUAAGUCGUAAGACGAUGUAUGGGGGCUGACGCCUGCCCAGUGCCAGAAGGUUAAAGAAGUUGGUUAGCAAUUGCGAAGCUGAUAACUGAAGCCCUGGUGAACGGCGGCCGUAACAAUAACGGUCCUAAGGUAGCGAAAUUCCUUGUCGGGUAAGUUCCGACCCGCACGAAAGGCGUAAUGAUUUGGAUACUGUCUCGGAGAGGGGCUCGGUGAAAUAGACUUGUCUGUGAAGAUGCGGACUACCUGCACCAGGACAGAAAGACCCUAUGAAGCUUUACUGUAACUUGAAAUUGAAAUUGGACUUUAUUCGCGCAGUAUAGGUGGGAGGCGUUGAUUAUAAUCUUGUGGGAUUAUUGGAGCCAUCAGUGAGAUACCACUCUUGUAAUGUUAGAUUUCUAACUUUGAAUCAUUAUCUGGUCAAAGAACAGUUUCAGGCGGGCAGUUUGACUGGGGCGGUCGCCUCCUAAACGGUAACGGAGGCGUACAAAGGUUUCCUCUGAACGGUUAGAAAUCGUAUCUAGAGUGUAAAGGCAUAAGGAAGCUUGACUGUGAGACCUACAAGUCGAGCAGGGACGAAAGUCGGUCUUAGUGAUCUGACGGUACUGAGUGGAAAGGCCGUCACUCAACGGAUAAAAGUUACUCUAGGAUAACAGGCUGAUCUCCCCCAAGAGUUCACAUCGACGGGGAGGUUUGGCACCUCGAUGUCGGCUCAUCGCAUCCUGGGGCGGUAGUACGUCCCAAGGGUUGGGCUGUUCGCCCAUGAAAGCGGUACGCGAGCUGGGUUCAGAACGUCGUGAGACAGUUCGGUCCAUAUCCGGUGUAGGCGUUAGAAUAUUGAGAGGAGCCUUCUUUAGUACGAGAGGACCGAGAAGGACAUACCUCUGGUGUACCAGUUAUCGUGCCAACGGUAAACGCUGGGUAGCUAUGUAUGGAGUGGAUAACCGCUGAAAGCAUCUAAGUGGGAAGCCCACCUCAAGAUAAG
rnacentral:rRNA from 1 species